UACGAAGGGGGCUAGCGUUGCUCGGAAUGACUGGGCGUAAAGGGCGCGUAGGCGGAGUGCUUUGUCGGGCGUGAAAUUCCAGGGCUCAACCUUGGGGCUGCGUUCGAGACGGGUAUUCUUGAGUUCGGAAGAGGGUCGUGGAAUUCCCAGUGUAGAGGUGAAAUUCGUAGAUAUUGGGAAGAACACCGGUGGCGAAGGCGGCGACCUGGUCCGAUACUGACGCUGAGGCGCGAAAGCGUGGGGAGCAAACAGG
rnacentral:rRNA from 1 species